GCCUGAAGUACCGUAGAAUUGGACCUUCCAGACGGGGUGCGGACUAUAGAGUACAAUAAGCAAGAAAUAAGAGAAAAAUUUCAAUUUCGCGGGCAAGGUGGUUUGUUUACGUUCCGCCAUCUUUGUUAUUUAUAUUGUAGAGGGCGCUCUUAUCAUUUUUCAAACUAAUAAUUUUAACUCAUCCAUAUUAAUAAGUUAUUUCUAUUCAAUAUCAAAUUAAUACUGAUAAAUAUAAAAACUAAACCUUUCAUUACAAAUUUCUUGUUUCUUUUCAAUGCAUUGGUUGAAAUAAACUGGUAUCUGCUUGAUUGAAACGAUACAAACAUAGUGAAAAAGACAACCGUAAACCAGCUUAGAAUUUGUAAACUACAAAAAGUAAUCGGUUAUUGUUCGUUCCGUUUUGGUGUUUUAUACUGACUAAUAUGGUUUGUAUUAGCUUAAGACCCUUCAAACAUUAAUGUGAUAGAUAUAUUAAAGACUGUUUUACAAAAGGAUGGAACAUUUUUACUUUCAAAGUCGUAUUAUAGUGAUAUCUGUUAUGUACGGAUUUCGACUCUCACCGGUUAGUUUCUUCUUUUACACGUGCUUUUUAAACUUCCUGUUUAAACAUUUUUCUAAAUUGUUUUUUAAGUGAAUUAAACUUAUUUUAACAAUCA